rnacentral:lncRNA from 1 species
CCUCUCUCUGCUCAUGCUAGUGGUAACUCCAUCCAGCUGGCCGCCACUGGACAUUCUCCUUACUUGUGAUCAACCAGGUCUGAAAAUAAUGCUUUGUCACAAUAUCUACAUCAUUCACCUCGCUUCAUCUCAUGACAUAUGCAUCGUAUGAUCUCACGUCAUCACAAGAAGAAGGAACUAAAGAAAUGGACUUCAAUAGUGGAGGGAGAAAGGCACCAAAGAAAAGCUACACCUACAAAACAGCUUUGCUCAAAGUCAACUUUACCCAGGCAGUCUUAUCUCAAGAGGAAAGACUGUAUGUCAGAAAGCACAGAAAAAACCCAAAGGAAGCUGCGUAUGAGCCACGUUGCAAAGGAACCCUCCCCUCCACGUAAGCUCUUGGAGGAUAGCAAGUGUGUGUAGUUUGGUUUGCAUUGCGUCUUAUUUUUCUUCCUUAUCCCAAACUUCCUGCACUCAACACUCCAGCUGCUUAGAAUUUCUAACUUCCAGAUAAUUACACCUGUUCCUUUUGCCUGGGAAACAUUCUGCUUAACUGGCCUGGUCAAUUCUGACUUGAACGUCAGGUCUCAGCCUAGAGAUAACUUCCUCUGGGAAGCGCCCUUGUCCCACUAAACUGAGCUGAGUACCCCUCUUGUGUGUUCCCCCACAGCACCCUGCCAGAGAACUUACUGUGUUUAUGAUAACCACUUGUUCAUGACUGCCUUCCCCAUCAGGUUAUUAAACUCAGUGAGAGCAGGGGCCUCAUCUAGUUUAUUCAUUAUACAACCCCAGC